rnacentral:lncRNA from 1 species
GUGUCGGGAGUCUUUUUAGAGGUCGGGGGUGUUUGGUAGGAACUCCCCAUCUCCGUUGGGAUGAAGUCCUUCAGGUCUUUGGUGCGGUUCGUCCUUCAUCUGUUUCUGCCAUAGUUCGUCACCCUUCCUUUUUAAUUUUUCUCUUCUCCGAGUGAGGGUCCUCCCCUCACUUUUUAUGGGGUUGCAUAGGAGCGAGGAGGUGCCGCUGAGGGGCUUUUUCCUUUCCCUCGAUCUUGUUGGACGGUCG